rnacentral:misc_RNA from 1 species
GAUGAAGAACGUAGCGAAAUGCGAUAAGUAAUGUGAAUUGCAGAAUUCAGUGAAUCAUCGAAUCUUUGAACGCACCUUGCGCCCUUUGGCCAUUCCGAAGGGCAUGCCUGUUUGAGUAUCAUGAACACCUCAACUCUUUAUGGUUUUCCAUGAUGAGCUUGGACUCUGGGGGUUUUGCUGGCUCACAGUCGGCUCCUCUAAAAUGAAUCAGCUUACCAGUGUUUGGUGGGUAUCAUGGGUGUGAUAACUAUCUACGCUUGUGGUUUUUCCACCAGGUAACCUUCAGCAGUGGAGGUUCGCUGGAGCUCAUAGAUGUCUCUCCUCAGUGAGGACAGCCCUUUGAAUGUUUGAUCUCAAAUCACGUAGGACUACCCGCUGAACUUAAGCAUAUCAAUAAGCGGAGGA